AGUUAUUUUGAUUUUUGAUUUUGUUUGAACUAAAAUGAACAAAUGCAAUACACUUAUAACGAUAGUAAUUAGAGAGAGUACCUAAAGCCGUAUCGUUAAAGCCGCGAUUACAUGUCGGCGGCUACGAUAAGAGGAUCGUAUUGUCGAUGCAAGGGACUUGCCAAAUGACUGCAGCGUUAUUGCUAAUAACGUAAAAAUGAUCUUCCAACAUCUAAAAGUUAAAUACCUAAUAACACUUAAUUUAACAGGAUGUGAGAAACCGAAUACAAUAUACAAAACUUAUACUGGUACACAUAAACAUAAUAGCGUAUCUUUUAAUAGCUGAAUGGAACUUAAUAACUGAAACGGAUUGUUUCACAUCACGUUUUAUAUCAUCGCAUCAUAAGACCUCAAUUGAAGUAUUUAUUACCUAACUACACUUAAGAAAAAAACUGCUAAAAUCGCUUGAUUCCUCAAUUAAAGCUGUCUAGUACCAGUAUGAAUUUCCAUCAAUUCCAUGUUAUUUAUUUUGUUUUUUUUUUUAAUCGAGGAAAAAAAGGAGUAUACAUAUUAUGUAUGUUCAGGGAUAACUUCGUCGUUUAUCAACCGAUUUUGAUUUUUUUUUUGUUGGAAAGGAGAUAUUCUAGGUGUGGUACCAUGAUAAGGAAAUCAGCAUCUGAUGGUGGGAUCCCAGAGAAAUCGAGGGAAACCCUGGAAAAUCCGCAUAACUUUUUACUGGGUGUACUGAUUUUGAUGAUUUUUAAUUUAAUCGAAAAUCGAUGUUUAUCAUGUGGUCACAUUUAAAUUUCAUCGAGAUCUGAUUACAACUUUUGGAGUAAUCCUUGAUAAUGCAUAUUUAUCAACUAAUUAUUUUUUCGUCUACCUACGUUGUAUUAUUACUUUUCCAUGUAAUUGAAGUCGGUUUUUUUUUCGUUUGCCAACAAACAAUUAUUUCUUAGACCAUUAUAAUUUAUAUUGUUAGAAUAUUCACAUCACUUGCUUAUCUAAAGCGCAUGCUGCUUAACUGCAUUCAAGGGAAAUUAUAUGCAUGCUUAAUACCUAAGCACUAACUUAUUAUAUUAUUUUACACAUGUGGUUCUUAUAAAAUAAAUAAAUCUGUUAAUGUCCUAUCGCUGGGGAAGUCGCUGGGGGAGUCUAUUUUACUUGGGAGCCCUUUAAGUUCCUAUAAUCGCUAUCAGUUGUUAAUUAUAACGAGUUGGAUCAACAACUUCAUCUAUUCUUCUGGGUACGGUAGUAAUAUGACCGUCUUGAUUCAGAUCAGAUACCAAUAUGACAAGACUCACGAGAACCAGACCAAUAACAAAUUUUUGUAUUAACACUAUUAUUUUAACGAUACGAAAGUGCUUUUGAAGCCUUUUUGAAUGAAGUUAUUUUUGAUUUUGAACCAUAAAAAUUACAAAACAUUCAGACAAACAUCGCUACUGUUCGCAGUUGAAAUCACUCAGGUCUUUAAUCAAUAAUAAAAACAGCACAAGACACGUGACAUUAUAACAUUAAAGUCACCUACAGCGCAUAUCACGCGUUAUCAUUACUCUAACGCAGGGUCGUCGACCGUUUAUCAGUGGAUUUCGUAGAACAAUAACAGAUACAACGCGAAUUGUUAUCCAAUAUUUUAAUAUCUAUGCAUUACAUAAAUCUGAAUCGUACAAUGUACAAAUAAAAUUUAUUCUACCUUUUAUUCUAUACGAGGAAGCAUAGGUUAAUUUUAUCUACGCACUCACGACGCGACCGGGAUGUAUUCGUUGUAUAUGUUUCUAUUACGAUCGUUUGACUAUUUUUCGUUACGAUUUGACGGAUUUUCAAGGUAUAUAAAUAUUAUUUAUAAUUAAAAUUUGUAAGGUUCCAAUUAAAAUUCCUUGGGAUGCAAGAUUUGAACUAUGGACAAUGUCACAAAGAUUUACUAUUACUGGAAAGGUACGGAAAAUAAUAAAAAAUAUUUUUAAUGGUAUAGGAUUUAAUGUAUUUAAUGAAAAAUAAACAUUUUAGAUUUAAUUAGCGUUACCUAACAUUGAAAAAUAUAUUUAUAAAUUUACAGGGAAAAAAAUAUAAUUUAUGUGAUAAACAGUGCAGCAAAAACAAUUUGCAGUUUAACAGUGCACUGUGUAAUUAUAAAAUAAUAAAUAUAAAAUGGCUAAAUAUAAAAAUAAAAUCUAUUCCGAUUUCGUCCCUUUUAAAUUACCGUUUCGCAAACAAUAAGAUUAAUAACGUCGCCAAUCCCAAUUCAUCUUCAUGAAAUAUUGUUGACAAUAAAAUCCAUAACAAUUUAAUUUCGAAAACGGCAAAAUGACCGAAGCCCUUCCGAUUUCCACCGA
rnacentral:misc_RNA from 1 species